GGGGAAUAUUGCACAAUGGGCGAAAGCCUGAUGCAGCAACGCCGCGUGAGUGAUGAAGGCUUUCGAGUCGUAAAGCUCUUUGAUCAGGGAUGAUAAUGACAGUACCUGAAAAACAAGCCACGGCUAACUACGUGCCAGCAGCCGCGGUAAUACGUAGGUGGCGAGCGUUGUCCGGAAUUACUGGGCGUAAAGGAUGCGUAGGUGGAUAUUUAAGUGGGAUGUGAAAUCCCCGGGCUCAACCCGGGAACUGCAUUCCAAACUGGAUAUCUAGAGUGCAGGAGAGGAAAGCGGAAUUCCUAGUGUAGCGGUGAAAUGCGUAGAUAUUAGGAGGAACACCAGUGGCGAAGGCGGCUUUCUGGACUGUAACUGACACUGAGGCAUGAAAGCGUGGGUAGCAAAC
rnacentral:rRNA from 1 species